UACGGGGGGAGCAAGCGUUGUUCGGAUUUACUGGGCGUAAAGGGCGCGUAGGCGGUCAGUGCAAGUCAGUUGUGAAAUCUCCGGGCUUAACUCGGAACGGUCAACUGAUACUGCUCGACUAGAGUGCGGAAGGGGCAACUGGAAUUCUUGGUGUAGCGGUGAAAUGCGUAGAUAUCAAGAGGAACACCGGUGGCGAAGGCGGCGUUCUGGACUGCAACUGACACUGAGGAACGAAAGCCAGGGGAGCAAACGGG
rnacentral:rRNA from 1 species